rnacentral:lncRNA from 1 species
GGCUGAUCCAGCACUCUAUUUCAUAGGAUAAGGUUGUUUUCUCUUUCAGGUUGUUCACUGUGAGUGAAAAUGUAUCCAAAACUGGAAAAGGUUGAAUCUGAUAGUGCCUUGUUUUCAUAGCUGCAUCAACAGAAAGAAAUGAAUAAUCUCCAGUAUGAGCUCUAAGGAAUGGUAAAAAAGUAAGAUGUCAAAAAUUGAGAUGACCACUACUGUAGACAACAUGGAAUGGAAUGGAAGUAUAAUACUGUUUUUAGUCAUGGCUUUAAAUUCCAAGUAUUUGAAACACAUUCUUCACAGCUUAAUCACAAGCCUAUGCCAUUUUCUCCAGCCAGGGAAUGCCUACACAGGUGAAUGCAAUACCAUGCAUCCAUAUUGAUAACAGCAAGUGCAGUAAAUAUUGUGUUAUAUGGGAAUGACUGAUAGCAGAGAGGCUGUUUUUAUAAGCUAUUCUUUCUGGUACAAAAUAGACUGCUUUCUAUUAGAAUGAUGAAGGAGGGGAUUCUGCCCCUCUACUCUGCUCUCAUGAGACCCCACCUGGAGUACCGCAUCCAGUUGUGGGACCCCCAACACAAGAAGGACAUGGAGCUGUUGGAGCAGGUCCAGAGGAGGGCCAUGAAGAUGAUCA